GCCUACGGGGGGCAGCAGUAGGGAAUUUUCGUCAAUGGGCGCAAGCCUGAACGAGCAAUGCCGCGUGAACGAGGAAGGUCUUCGGAUCGUAAAGUUCUGUUGAAGGGGAAAAAGAGCGGAGAGAGGAAAUGAACUCCGAUUGAUAUUACCCUUCGAGGAAGUCACGGCUAACUACGUGCCAGCAGCCGCGGUAAUACGUAGGUGGCGGGCGUUAUCCGGAAUGAUUGGGCGUAAAGGGUGCGUAGGUGGCCUGCUAAGUCUGGAGUGAAAGGUACCGGCUCAACCGGUACAGGCUCUGCAAACUG
rnacentral:rRNA from 1 species